rnacentral:rRNA from 1 species
UACGAAGGGGGCUAGCGUUGUUCGGAAUCACUGGGCGUAAAGCGCACGUAGGCGGAUCUUUAAGUCAGGGGUGAAAUCCCGAGGCUCAACCUCGGAACUGCCUUUGAUACUGGGGAUCUCGAGUCCGGGAGAGGUGAGUGGAACUGCGAGUGUAGAGGUGAAAUUCGUAGAUAUUCGGAAGAACACCAGUGGCGAAGUCGGCUCACUGGCCCGGUACUGACGCUCAUGUGCGAAAGCGUGGGGAGCAAACAGG